GGCGCGCGAUACAGGGUGACAGCCCCGUACACAAAAAUGCACAUACUGUGAGCUCGAUGAGUAGGGCGGGACACGUGGUAUCCUGUCUGAAUAUGGGGGGACCAUCCUCCAAGGCUAAAUACUCCUGACUGACCGAUAGUGAACCAGUACCGUGAGGGAAAGGCGAAAAGAACCCCGGCGAGGGGAGUGAAAAAGAACCUGAAACCGUGUACGUACAAGCAGUGGGAGCACGCUUAGGCGUGUGACUGCGUACCUUUUGUAUAAUGGGUCAGCGACUUAUAUUCUGUAGCAAGGUUAACCGAAUAGGGGAGCCGAAGGGAAACCGAGUCUUAACUGGGCGUUAAGUUGCAGGGUAUAGACCCGAAACCCGGUGAUCUAGCCAUGGGCAGGUUGAAGGUUGGGUAACACUAACUGGAGGACCGAACCGACUAAUGUUGAAAAAUUAGCGGAUGACUUGUGGCUGGGGGUGAAAGGCCAAUCAAACCGGGAGAUAGCUGGUUCUCCCCGAAAGCUAUUUAGGUAGCGCCUCGUGAAUUCAUCUCCGGGGGUAGAGCACUGUUUCGGCAAGGGGGUCAUCCCGACUUACCAACCCGAUGCAAACUGCGAAUACCGGAGAAUGUUAUCACGGGAGACACACGGCGGGUGCUAACGUCCGUCGUGAAGAGGGAAACAACCCAGACCGCCAGCUAAGGUCCCAAAGUCAUGGUUAAGUGGGAAACGAUGUGGGAAGGCCCAGACAGCCAGGAUGUUGGCUUAGAAGCAGCCAUCAUUUAAAGAAAGCGUAAUAGCUCACUGGUCGAGUCGGCCUGCGCGGAAGAUGUAACGGGGCUAAACCAUGCACCGAAGCUGCGGCAGCGACGCUUAUGCGUUGUUGGGUAGGGGAGCGUUCUGUAAGCCUGUGAAGGUGUGCUGUGAGGCAUGCUGGAGGUAUCAGAAGUGCGAAUGCUGACAUAAGUAACGAUAAAGCGGGUGAAAAGCCCGCUCGCCGGAAGACCAAGGGUUCCUGUCCAACGUUAAUCGGGGCAGGGUGAGUCGACCCCUAAGGCGAGGCCGAAAGGCGUAGUCGAUGGGAAACAGGUUAAUAUUCCUGUACUUGGUGUUACUGCGAAGGGGGGACGGAGAAGGCUAUGUUGGCCGGGCGACGGUUGUCCCGGUUUAAGCGUGUAGGCUGGUUUUCCAGGCAAAUCCGGAAAAUCAAGGCUGAGGCGUGAUGACGAGGCACUACGGUGCUGAAGCAACAAAUGCCCUGCUUCCAGGAAAAGCCUCUAAGCAUCAGGUAACAUCAAAUCGUACCCCAAACCGACACAGGUGGUCAGGUAGAGAAUACCAAGGCGCUUGAGAGAACUCGGGUGAAGGAACUAGGCAAAAUGGUGCCGUAACUUCGGGAGAAGGCACGCUGAUAUGUAGGUGAAGUCCCUCGCGGAUGGAGCUGAAAUCAGUCGAAGAUACCAGCUGGCUGCAACUGUUUAUUAAAAACACAGCACUGUGCAAACACGAAAGUGGACGUAUACGGUGUGACGCCUGCCCGGUGCCGGAAGGUUAAUUGAUGGGGUCAGCGCAAGCGAAGCUCUUGAUCGAAGCCCCGGUAAACGGCGGCCGUAACUAUAACGGUCCUAAGGUAGCGAAAUUCCUUGUCGGGUAAGUUCCGACCUGCACGAAUGGCGUAAUGAUGGCCAGGCUGUCUCCACCCGAGACUCAGUGAAAUUGAACUCGCUGUGAAGAUGCAGUGUACCCGCGGCAAGACGGAAAGACCCCGUGAACCUUUACUAUAGCUUGACACUGAACAUUGAGCCUUGAUGUGUAGGAUAGGUGGGAGGCUUAGAAGUGUGGACGCCAGUCUGCAUGGAGCCGACCUUGAAAUACCACCCUUUAAUGUUUGAUGUUCUAACGUUGACCCGUAAUCCGGGUUGCGGACAGUGUCUGGUGGGUAGUUUGACUGGGGCGGUCUCCUCCUAAAGAGUAACGGAGGAGCACGAAGGUUGGCUAAUCCUGGUCGGACAUCAGGAGGUUAGUGCAAUGGCAUAAGCCAGCUUGACUGCGAGCGUGACGGCGCGAGCAGGUGCGAAAGCAGGUCAUAGUGAUCCGGUGGUUCUGAAUGGAAGGGCCAUCGCUCAACGGAUAAAAGGUACUCCGGGGAUAACAGGCUGAUACCGCCCAAGAGUUCAUAUCGACGGCGGUGUUUGGCACCUCGAUGUCGGCUCAUCACAUCCUGGGGCUGAAGUAGGUCCCAAGGGUAUGGCUGUUCGCCAUUUAAAGUGGUACGCGAGCUGGGUUUAGAACGUCGUGAGACAGUUCGGUCCCUAUCUGCCGUGGGCGCUGGAGAACUGAGGGGGGCUGCUCCUAGUACGAGAGGACCGGAGUGGACGCAUCACUGGUGUUCGGGUUGUCAUGCCAAUGGCACUGCCCGGUAGCUAAAUGCGGAAGAGAUAAGUGCUGAAAGCAUCUAAGCACGAAACUUGCC
rnacentral:rRNA from 1 species